AAAAAACUAACACAAUAAAAAAGCAAAACAACAAAACACCAAGUGUAUUAGUUUUGCUUGUACACAAUUUAAUUCUUUUUCUAGUUGAAUUUUCUGUUGUUGGGUUUAUCUGCUGAUAUGAUAAAGAAGACUCAGCAUAUCAUGGAAUAGUACUUGCUGCUUUCUAUGUGUUGGUGUUGUCUGAGAAUCGUCUUGAAUCCAGAGGCCUGUAGAUGGCAAUCUUGCGCUGCAUUGGAGAAGCAAUCAUUGGAGAAGCAAUUCCCAACAUCCUGCACAGCUCCUGGAGAUAACUGGAAGCCUGGUGUUUGGAGAGAGAAAAUAGCUGAAGAUGAAGCACUGUGGGCAGUUCUGAUUACAGACAAAGCAAGAAAGGCUGUGUACUUCCAGCCCCCUAUGAUUCUAAAGAGCUCUGUUAAAUAACAGACUGCACCGUCUCCAUCAAAGAUCCAUGAAGGUGAAUGCUUCACUGCCAGAAAUACUUAUUUAUAUAUGUGUAUUCUGAACCAUAAAGAGAACUAGGGCUUAUUACAGUCUUGCUUUAAUUUUUGAACAGCUAGGUGGUGCUGCUCGAAUAUUUAGUAUGUAUUUACUGUUUAAUUUUAGUAUCAUAAUGUUAAGUCAAAGAUCAAGACUCAGAUGUAUGAGAUACAGAGAAAAUGCAAAUUUGCUGCAUGUCCCAAAUGGAUUACAAUGGAAGUAAAAGGGUACACGUUCUCUGCACUUCACCUACUUCUUCAUUCUGUUGAGCCUGAUAAAGCCACAGCUGUAUUGUUUCCAAUACUCAAAUGAACUAAUUAAAAAUUAGUAGGUUUUUUUUUGUGUGUGUAAUACUCUGUGAUGUAGUCACACGUGUGAAAGUGAUGAUGAUGGAGAGAGACCAAGAGGUGUCAGUGAGCUCGGCCAGAAUAGGAGGCAAUGAGCAGACAAAGCUGCUGAGCUGUUCUUUGAAUGGUCACAGCAAAAGGGGGUUAUAAAUAGGAUGUAAUAGGCAAUGUAAGACAGUGAAAUAGGCAAUGUAAGACACAAUGGGAGCAAGGUUUGGAGAAAUACCUCCAUUGAGCAAUGUAAGAAAUGGGUUCAUGUGUUGAUAUUAAGGCCAGUUGGAAAUUGCUUUUCUGUCUUUUUUUUUAUUUUAUUUUUUAGAAAUAAAUGAAAAAUAACAAGAACA
ensembl:lncRNA